rnacentral:misc_RNA from 1 species
GGAAAAAAGAUGGAGGAUCAUUGCAGUCCUCUUAGCUGGGCAUAUUUCUACCAAGGUGAGGAAAUUGAAGAGCUGAGACAUUGUCUCUUGUACAUAACAGAGCUAGAGGCAACAAUUUUUUCAGCUAAGGAGGAGAUGACAAUAAGAGAAUUUGAGAUACUCCAUCUCAAAGAUCUUUUAAGUAGGACUAUUGAAGAAAGAAACGAAGCCCAAGAAGAAUGCCAAAAGCUACUGCUUGAAAAACUUGCUUUCGAACGGCGACUAGUGCUAAAAGAACAGCAGGAGCCUCAAAAUCUACAGAAUCAUCAGCAGCAGCAGCUUCUACUGCAACAAGAAGAAACGCAAAAACUCAAACAAGAAGCUCCUCCUUCACUCCCUGGAUCUUCCGGCAGUGAAGAUGGUGAAUCCAACAAUCACAUAACCCCUCUUGAUCCUGGUAAAAUCAAAGUUCCCUCGCAGUUUCGUGACCCAAUUACCCAGCAACCAUUAGCACUAUCUCCACUACCAGAAGUGAUACUAAAAUUAGCAGCUGAUAGGCCAUUGCCUGAGAAAGGGAAGCUUCUCCAGGCAGUGAAGGAAGCCGGACCGCUCCUACAGACCCUUCUACUGGCUGGACCUCUCCCUCAAUGGCAGCACCCACCACCACAACUAGACACCAUUGAUAUUCCACCUGUCACCAUUUCUUCUCCGACGGGUCGACUAAUUCACCAUGACUCUUUCAACAAUUUGAAUGCUUGCUUCAGCAAGAAAAGGGGUCCUGAUUCUUCUUCUUCAUCUCCUAACGACAAGCAUCAGAAGCUUGCCCUCCAUUGACCAUACUUUUUAUUUAGUACUUAGACAUAAUUGUCAUAUAUAUGCCCAUCCUUUUCAUUCUGUUAUACAUUGAUAAGGUAAUCAGAAUGAAAUGAAUGGCUAGCUAUCAUGUUUCAGUCUGAAAAUUUUACUCUAUUCUUGCCUCAGAAUGGAAAAUUCUA